GCCUUGCCCAGCACCGUGCAGCUUCAAUGGCUGCACCUUCAACGCUCUCAGCCUCCUCUGUUCCCUCAAUAUUGGGGGGCUGAGUCACCUGCUAAGGAAUAUUGAGGGGACUGGUGACACCUCCAUCCCCUAGAGUUAGUGUGCCUGGUAGGACAUCAGUGAAUUUAGCAUGGCCAUAGUAUCUUCAUGGGUCGUCAUUACAGUAUAAGUUUUUUAUAUCUAAACUGAAGGGUCAGAAAAACAAAGCAACAAUCCCCCCCUUUUUUUUAUUUUCAUUCCCAGGAACUCUUAAGGAGGCUACUGGCAGUUGCUCAAAUGCCCAUUUCUGAAAAACGGAAGGCAUUUGACAAUUUGCAGUUGUCUUCUUCGUGGUGUAACAAUGUCUGGAAUCUGGAGAUAUUUGAGAAAACAGCACACUGUUUAAAUGUCUUAAAAGGAACUGAAGACCCAGAGGCCGCUCGCGGAGACGUUAUCACUGCAAGUGCAAAGUUCUUUGCUGAUAUCAGUGUGAGAAAUUCACUUCGUAAUAGUGAAUGGCAAAAAUUGUUCUGUUUAUCUUGUUCAACAGUGAAAACAAUUAGGUUUUCACAUUGCAGUUGCAUGCCC